rnacentral:tRNA from 2 species
GCGGGCGUAGUUCAGGGGUAGAACGUCUGCUUGCCAAGCAGAAGGUCGUGGGUUCAAAUCCCAUCGUCCGCUCCA